rnacentral:rRNA from 1 species
CCUACGGGAGGCUGCAGUGGGGAAUAUUGGGCAAUGGGCGCAAGCCUGACCCAGCAACGCCGCGUGAAGGAAGAAGGCUUUCGGGAUGUAAACUUCUUUUCUGAGGGACGAAGAAAGUGACGGUACCUCAUGAAUAAGCCACGGCUAACUACGUGCCAGCAGCCGCGGUAAUACGUAGGUGGCAAGCGUUAUCCGGAUGUAUUGGGUGUAAAGGUCGUGUAGGCGGGAAAGCAAGUCAGAUGUGAAAACUCAGGGAUCAACCCUGAGCCUGACUUUGAAACUGUUUUUCUUGAUUGCUGUAGAGGCAAUCGGAAUUCCGGGUGUAGCGGUGAAAUGCGUAGAUAUACGGAGGAAGACGAGUGGCGAAGGCGGAUUGCUGGACAGUAACUGAGGCUGAGGCGCGAAAGCGUGGGGAGCAAACAGGAUUAGAUACCCUGGUAGUC